rnacentral:rRNA from 1 species
UACGUAGGGUCCGAGCGUUGUUCGGAAUUACUGGGCGUAAAGGGCUCGUAGGCGGCCAACUAAGUCGGAUGUGAAAUCCCCAGGCUCAACCUGGGAACUGCAUCCGAUACUGGAUGGCUUGAAUUCGGGAGAGGGAUGCAGAAUUCCAGGUGUAGCGGUGAAAUGCGUAGAUAUCUGGAGAAUACCGGUGGCGAAGGCGGCAUCCUGGACCGACAUUGACGCUGAUGAGCGAAAGCUAGGGGAGCAAACGGG